ensembl:lncRNA
CAGUACUCCACCAUAUCCUGAAGUGUGCGUAUUCCAGUUAAUCACACAGAAUAAAUAUCAAGCUUACAAAAAGGAAAUAAAACUGCUGGUGUUACAUCCAACCUGCCUUCUCCCUUGCAUCAUUUUCUCACUCCACUCCUUGCCGUUCGGGUCUUCUGACCGAGACUCUGUCUGCUCACCCAACAUUCACUCCCCCCAAACCACAUCACCCUUACAGUUCCUUCAAUGUGGAGAAGAUUGAGCUUCCGGUAUCUUUCGAGCUGUAUGAUGAGGAUGGCGAUCAUAGGCUUAAGCUGAUAGAGUGUGAAUGGCUGGUCAAAAACAUCACCAUGAACCGACCAUUGUAAGCGUGCAUUAAUAAAAUACACAAAGAUGAA